rnacentral:rRNA from 1 species
GUCUACCACCAUACCACUCUGAAGACACUCAAUCUCAUCUGAUCUCAGAUGCUAAAUAGGGUCGGGCCUGGUUUGUAUAAUAAUUGGAUGGGAGAAA